GGGGAGGGCUGGAUCCUGGGCUGUGACCCCUGGCGCCCUGGACUCUGGGGCCUGUGUUGCUGGAAUCACACUCCCAGGGCCACGCAGCUCCCU
rnacentral:pre_miRNA from 1 species